rnacentral:rRNA from 1 species
UACGUAGGGAGCAAGCGUUGUCCGGAAUCAUUGGGCGUAAAGCGCGCGUAGGCGGCCCGAUAAGUCCGCUGUGAAAGUCAACGGCUCAACUGUUGGAUGCCGGUGGAUACUGUCGGGCUAGAGUACGGAAGAGGCAAGUGGAAUUCCUGGUGUAGCGGUGGAAUGCGCAGAUAUCAGGAGGAACACCGGUGGCGAAGGCGGGUCUCUGGGCCGAUACUGACGCUGAGGAGCGAAAGCUUGGGGAGCGAACAGG